rnacentral:rRNA from 1 species
GAAUUUAAUAUUAUUUAUUAAGAAGGUGAUUAUUUAAUAGGUAGUAUUUUAUUGGGAGGAUAAUUAAAUUUAUGGAACUUUAAGUGAAAUUUAAAUAUAAAUUAAUAAGUUUUAGAGUGAUUAAUAAAUUAAUAAAGAAUUAAUUACCUUAGGGAUAACAGCGUAAUAUUUUUGAAGAGUUCAUAUUGAUAAAAAUGUUUGC